CCUGCGCUGUGAGGAGCAGCUCGCGCCUGGGCUUUGGGCCGGCUGCAGUAUCAGUCUGAGGUCUGCCGAAGCGGCUGGCUCAGUUAAGAUGAGGCUUCUGCUGCUUCUCCUGGUGGCGGCGUUGGCGGUGGUCCGGAGCGAGGCCUCGGCCAACCUGGGCGGUGUGCCCAGCAAGAGAUUAAAGAUGCAGUACGCCACGGGGCCGCUGCUCAAGUUCCAGAUUUGUGUUUCCUGAGGUUAUAGGCGGGUAUUUGAGGAGUACAUGCGGGUUAUUAGCCAGCGGUACCCAGACAUCCGCAUUGAAGGAGAGAAUUACCUCCCUCAACCAAUAUAUAGACACAUAGCAUCUUUCCUGUCAGUCUUCAAACUAGUAUUAAUAGGCUUAAUAAUUGUUGGCAAGGAUCCUUUUGCUUUCUUUGGCAUGCAAGCGCCUAGCAUCUGGCAGUGGGGCCAAGAAAAUAAGGUCUAUGCAUGUAUGAUGGUUUUCUUCUUGAGCAACAUGAUUGAGAACCAGUGUAUGUCAACAGGUGCAUUUGAGAUAACUUUAAAUGAUGUACCUGUAUGGUCUAAGCUGGAAUCUGGUCACCUUCCAUCCAUGCAAUAACUUGUUCAAAUUCUUGACAAUGAAAUGAAGCUCAAUGUGCAUAUGGAUUCAAUCCCACACCAUCGAUCAUAGCACCACCUAUCAGCACUGAAAACUCUUUUGCAUUAAGAGAUUUUUGCAAGAGCAGCAUGACUGACAUUAUGAAGGUCUGUACUGAAGACAGCAAGCUGUUAGUACAGACUAGAUGCUUUCUUGGCAGGCUCGUUGUACCUCUUGGAAAACCUCAAUGCAGGAUAGUUUUUCAGUGCUGGCAUAUUUUGGAAUUCUGCACAUUCGUGGAGUGCAAUAAUGCUGUAUAGCUUUUUUUCCCCUCCAAAUUCACCCAGUUAAUGUGUUUUUGUUAAGGUAGAUAUUACUUCUUACAACUUUUUUCUUAGUUGUAUUUGAAAAAGUAGAAAAUUGAGUUAUGAUUUGAUUUUUUUUCUCAAAGAUGUCUGUUAAAUUGCUGUGCUUUUAUGUGAAUAUUUGUUUUUUAUAGUUUAAAAUUGAUCCUUGGGAAUCCAGCUGAAGUUCCCAG